AACAGAUUAAGUAUGACAAUAAAUAAAAAAUGGAUGACACUUUAAGAAGAGGGAGGCGCUACUUGUCAAUAUCGCUGGUGAUCGAAAUCCGCCAAAUAAAGGUGACGAGAUUGGAUUGGCGGCUUGAAUGGUUCACCGCGGUUGGCGGAGAUUGGUCUGGUGGAGUUCAUCGGAGUGAAAGGAGAAGAAGAAGGGGACGGCGACGGCGAUGGGUUCGCCGGUUUUACCGAUUUCGAGGAUCUAGAUGGGAAAAAGGUGAGUGCCGCCAGCAUUGGGGUAUGUCGAUUGGUGGUGCCGGCGGCUGGGGAGACGUUGCUUGGAUGCAUUUUGCCUGCCGGUGAUGGAUGGCAGUGGUUGACGACCGAUUUCCGGUGAAAUUUGGCUGGUGAUGGUGAUGGUGAUGGUGAAGGGAGGUCGAAAUUUGCAAAACCACAACUCCGGUGAUGUUUUGUCUUUGGAAGAAGCUAUUUUUUCACUUUUUUCCGAUCACAUUUUUUUUAAUUUUUUUAACUUGAUCUUACUAAUUUCUAUCAUUCAUUGUGUAUGUUGUGAAUGUUUUAAAGUAUGUGUAUGUUUUUGGUAAAAAAAAUGAAAAAGAGAGGAGCAUGUGGACACUGAGUGUGUGAAUAUCUAUGUGUAUGUGAAUUUUGUAGAACCGUUUAUGUGUGUACUGUUGAAUCUGUGUAUGACUGUGGAAAAUAAAUCACUGGCAAUAUUGUGUACAUGAUGUGCACAGAGAA
rnacentral:lncRNA from 1 species